rnacentral:rRNA from 1 species
CUAACACAUGCAAGUCGACCGAGAAAAGCCUUCGGNCUGAGUAAAGCGGCAGACGGGUGAGUAAUGCGUAGGAAUCUGCCCUUCAGUGAGGAAUACCCUCGAGAAAUCGAGGUUAAUACUGCAUACGUCCCUUCGGGGAGAAAGAUGGCCUCUUGCUGUCGCUGAAGGAUGAGCCUGCGUGCUAUCAGCUAGUUGGUAGGGUAAAAGCCUACCAAGGCUAUGACGGCUAGCCGGCCUGAGAGGGUGUACGGCCACACUGGAACUGAGACACGGUCCAGACUCCUACGGGAGGCAGCAGUGGGGAAUAUUGCACAAUGGGCGAAAGCCUGAUGCAGCAACGCCGCGUGAGUGAUGAAGNCCUUCGGGUUGUAAAGCUCUGUCUUUGGGGACGAU